ensembl:lncRNA
CAUCAGAAGAGAAGUGAGGAGGAGGUGUAACCUACUAGGGUUAGGGUUACACUCCAUCAGAAGAGAAGUGAGGAGGAGGUGUAACCUACUAGGGUUAGGGUUACGCUCCAUCAGAAGAGAAGUGAGGAGGAGGUGUAACCUUUUCUUUGCACCACAUGCAGGGCCCACAUUCACUUUGCUUAUGGGACUUAGGGGCUUCUGAGUGAAGCAUGCUAGACCAUCACCAUCCCGAACAUUAGCCAGCCACCACUGAUUCAAGACAUCUAUUAGCAGGCUUGGGGUUUGUGUUUCCAAUGACACCCUGUUCCCGACAUAGAUCAUUUUUUGGGGGGGACCAGAGCCCUCAAAAGUAGUGCACUACGUAGGGAAUAGGGUUCAUAUAUGAGACGUACCCCUGCUUUUAAAAGGAUCAGGAGGCUUCACAGGCAUUUGACUUCAAGCAUUGUCAUUCAUUCAAAUUUAUUCAUCUGAAUACAGUUAACAAUUAAAAAAAAAAAAAAAAAACGAUCCACAUUUUUCCCUCCGAGGAUUAAUUUGGUUGAUUUCAAUAUUGAUGUAUUGUCACUGCAGCCUAGUCUCCCUGUCAGCCCUCCUGUGGAGGAUGUAGAGACUCUUCUCCGGCAGACUCCACUAGAAUAGACUCAGAGAGGAACAGCGCCACACACACACACACACACACACACACACACACACAAUUUUUCAUAUUUCCAUAUUGAAUAGAAUUAAUAAUUAAUUAUAGCUGAAUGGAGAAUCACAGUCAUGAUGUAGUGGACCACUGCUGAGAUAGGCAUGUUAUGUAUAGUACAGUGGAC